AUUGAACGCUAGCGGGAUGCUUUACACAUGCAAGUCGAACGAGUGGCGGACGGGUGAGUAAUAUAUCGGAACGUGCCCAGUUGCGGGGGAUAACUACUCGAAAGAGUGGCUAAUACUGCAUACUAUUGGAGCGGCCGAUAUCGGGUUAGCUAGUUGGUGGGGUAAAGGCUCACCAAGGCAACGAUCCGUAGCUGGUUGGAGCGGACGAACAGCCACACUGGGACUGAGACACGGCCCGGACGCCUACGUGAGGCAGCAGUGGGGAAUGUUGGACAAUGGGGGAGACCCUGAUCCAGCCAUCCCAAGUGGAGGAGAAGGCCUUCGGGUUGUAAAGUACUUUUGGCAGAGAAGCGGUAUCUGAAGAAUAAGCACCGGCUAACUACGUGCCAGCAGCCGCGGUAAUUC
rnacentral:rRNA from 1 species